GGUGAGGUAGCUCAGGGGUAGAGCGCGAAAAAAGGAAUCAUGUUUGUGAUUCUUGCAGCAAUUUUUUAACCACUGAUAAUGGCGAUGUCAACGGUUCGAAUCCGUUCCUCACCC
rnacentral:tRNA from 1 species